rnacentral:misc_RNA from 1 species
UGUAGACUCUGAAAAAGUUGAAAACCAUACUGAUGAUAAGGAAGAUUACAGUGAGUCCAAUACUUUGUUACCUCCUAGGAGAGGUGGGAUGUCAAGAAAUACAGAGAGAGUGCAGAGAAAAGUUCAGUGGAAUGAUAAGAAUGGGAAUAAACUUGCGGAGGUUUUAGUAUUUGAACCAAGGUAAUUAUAGUUUUCGCUUUAAGUAAAGAAUUUUGGUAUUUUGGAUUUUCGGAUGCUAUUUUUGUUUUUUUUCUGAUGUUUGGUAAAUUUGUCUCUGUUAUUUUUGGUUUGAAGACAUGGUGUAGUUAUUGCAUAUACACUGGUAACGAAUAACGAACCCAACUGCAUAAUCAUUCUAAUAAUGGAAUGCGCAUCAGUGCAUGUAUGUGUAAAUGCUAUAGCAGGAUAAGCUUCAGCUUGACUGGUAUAUCUGGGUGGUUGUACGACUUGUAUGGCUAUAAUUAUUGCUAUACCAGGUUAUAGACUUCCCUGAAUAUGUGUGCAUGUUUAUCUGCUUGCAUACAUGCAAGAAUCUGUGGUGUGUACCUCUGUUUUGGGUUAGGUUGAAGUGAGUGAAGCGUUUAUGGCAUGAAUUAAAUUGAUGCGUUUUAGUUAUUAUGUCUUUUUUGCUUACUGAUCAGUCCCAUUAAGCUGACCCAGUUGAUAGUGUUCUAUCCAGGACAAGCAUUUUUCGUUCAGUGCUAGUCUACACCUAGUUUUGUCAUUUUUGUUUAAGAAACGUGAUGAUCUCAGUUGUCACUUGGGCAGCCUAUUUUCAUUAAUAGGUAAACCCCUCCUUUAUACCAGAGUAACUAUAGUGAGUUAUGUGACGGAUGAACUGUCAAUGUUAAUGUUGCAUGUAAUCAAACAUGAGCCUGUUGUCAUGUGGAAUUAACGGUGAAACCUAUAUAAACCCUUUAAGUUAAUCAAAAUCAUUAAAUAAUAAAUUAUGGGAUCCUUUUAACCAAAUCUCUUGGAACAGAAUAUUUACAAAUAAUAUACCUAAUCAAUUAAACUAAAGAAAUCUGUUCUUCCUUUUUUCUUUUUUGUUUGGGUCAUUGUGUUGUUGAAACUUACAGCAAUAAAUGAACUUUUGCUUCAAGCACAGUGAAAUUUAAAUUUGUUUUAUGUUUCUCCUGAAAGAGUAUUUGAUCUUUGUACUCUAUUCACUGUCCACUAUUUAGAGAUGCUUGAUUUUCAGGCUUGACUAGUCCCUUACGCAAUAGACAGCUAACCUAAUUAUACCCUUUUAUGAAGUGUUCUAUCUACUCAUUAUCUAUGCUAACUAAUGUUUGAAAAAAGAGGUUGCACUAAGGCUAAGAUAUGUUUAAUUGAAGAUUUGACUAUUGAAGAGAGGCAAUUGCCAUGCUGUUGGCUUAACUCCUGCCACAUUGGCAUAAGUGCUUCUACUGUAAACCAACAUUCUUACUUAUGCAUAACUAAGAAAGGCUUCCAUGCAUUAGUUAUGUAUCGGGAUUUGUUUAAGUUAAAGCAUGUUACUGAACUUGGCAGUUCUAUUGCAUGAAGUUGAAAUGGUUAUUGCAGCUUGUUUUUCAAUUGCUUAAAAGCAUAUAGGAUUGUAUGCAAUAUUUUCUGCAACUUGGUUGAGGUUAAGGCUUAGUUGGGUUGAGUAUUUUCUGGAAUAACCUGGAUUAACGUCAUUUGAAAGUUGAAACUUUAGGUAUCACAGGUAUCACAGUCUCAUAAUCACUGCAAUCCAUCCUAUCUCUCUAGUAUCUGUGAUAAGCUGUGACAUCAUCUUGGACUUGAGCUAUCUACUUGACUUGCUUUUUAAAUAGAUAAAACAGAUGUUAGCAGCAGUAGCAUCUACUUUUCCUGCCUGUUCAUUUGUCUUUAAAGAGACCCUUCAAAGAGAGUUUCAGAGAUCAAAUACGAAAAGCAGAUGAUAAUUUAGUUUUUGUUGAAAUCUUGCUUACAUGUAUUUGUUUUUCUCCGGUUUGGAUUAGAAACAUUGCAUCAGGUUUUCCCGUGUCACUGGCUACCCUUAUUGUGUUACAGUAACUUAAACUAGGAGCCAAAGAGUUGUCAACACCAAGGUUCUCUCUGUUGGAUUUGUUGCUUUCAGUGGGCGCCAUGGUAGUGUUGUGGGAGAUUUUGAUAAUGUUCCUCUGUUUUGUCUUGAUUCACUUCAAUUUAUUAAGAUAGCUUAUUUCUAUAUUUUGGUUAUCAUUGAAUAUAGAAGUAGAGAGCAUAUAGCUAGAACCUAUGGUCUACCAGACCCUCACUCUCAAACCAUCUAAUCUAUGUUCUUUCGGCGUCUUCAUGAGCUGGCUCUAUUUAUCAGAUGACUCAACUUAUCACUUCUAUCUCGUUCAGAUUUCAGAAUAUAGUGGCUUCUGUGGAAGCCUCCAGCUGACUUACUUCAGUAUGUUCCUGGCUCAUACUAGAUACAAUAUGGAAAAAUUAAAUGAGUGAACCCAUUUACUCCUUGGAACCAUUAUUGCCAUUCUCUCUUUAUUAUCUUACUAAGGAGGCUGAGAUUAGCUACUGGAAUUGAGGAAUUAGCAGUUAGAAAUUGUGGAUUCACUGCCUUCACAGAGAAGAUUAAUGGUCAGUCUGAUAAUAAUGGCAACUGUAUCUCUAUUCCUUCUUCCUUGUUGUACUUUUUUAUGCUUGCUUAAGAUUGGAAUUGAAUUUUAUAAAAAGGAUUGUCAUACGUUAAAAGAAGAAAAGAAAAUUACAUGAAUUACUUCCCCUUUCUGGUUGAGCAAGUUUGCUUUUUAUUUUUUUAAUUUUUUUUUAGAGGGGAAGAAGAAAGAGGGGCCAUCUAAAAUUACAUUGCAAAUUGUGUUUCCUUAGCCCAUGUGUAUUUAUGGUCAAGUAUUUAAAGGCCCAAGGAAUGUAGGUCUCCAAUUGACCGUUGCAACUUAUCUUGGAUGCUGUACCCUUUGUCUUUUAAGGCCUCAUGACAUUACAUUCUGAAGAAUCAACUACAACCUGUGGUUUCCCGUUGUAAUAGUGUAUGUGUAGCUUCUUUUAGUGGCAAGGCACUGUUAUCAUGAUAAUAUUUCUCUGUUGUCAAUAGACACAGGCUCAAAUGUUUGGCGUGCCCUCUAGUUUUAUGUGAUUGUAUGUAAAGAAUUGAUGAUGCAUUUUGGUUGAAAACGUUUAGUGGUUAAUACACUAAUUGUGCAACCAUGUUUUGGUUGGCUCGGGUGAAACACUUAACUGAAACAACUCUUUGGUUCAGCACCUUGCUUUAGUCAUUUGGUCAUUCAGAAGAUCUUCAAUUCUGCUACAUUGCA